rnacentral:rRNA from 2 species
GUGACCUCAAAUCAGGUAGGACUACCCGCUGAACUUAAGCAUAUCAAUAAGCGGAGGAAAAGAAACUAACAAGGAUUCCCCUAGUAACUGCGAGUGAAGCGGGAAAAGCUCAAAUUUAAAAUCUGUCAGUCUUUGGCUGUCCGAGUUGUAAUCUAGAGAAGCGUUAUCCGCGCUGGACCGUGUACAAGUCUCCUGGAAUGGAGCGUCAUAGAGGGUGAGAAUCCCGUCUUUGACACGGACUGCCAGGGCUUUGUGAUGCGCUCUCAAAGAGUCGAGUUGUUUGGGAAUGCAGCUCAAAAUGGGUGGUAAAUUCCAUCUAAAGCUAAAUAUUGGCGAGAGACCGAUAGCGAACAAGUACCGUGAGGGAAAGAUGAAAAGAACUUUGGAAAGAGAGUUAAACAGUACGUGAAAUUGCUGAAAGGGAAACGCUUGAAGUCAGUCGCGUUGUCCAGGGAUCAACCUUGCUUUUGCUUGGUGUACUUUCUGGUCGACGGGUCAGCAUCAAUUUUGACUGUUGGAAAAAGGUCAGGGGAAUGUGGCAUCUUUAGAUGUGUUAUAGCCCUUGGUUGCAUACAAUGGUUGGGAUUGAGGAACUCAGCACGCCGCAAGGCCGAGUAAUUU